rnacentral:rRNA from 1 species
UACAGAGGUGGCAAGCGUUGUUCGGAUUUACUGGGCGUAAAGGGUGCGUAGGUGGUCUCCUAUGUCGAAUGUGAAAUCCCAAGGCUCAACCUUGGAAUUGCGUUCGAAACUGGGAGACUUGAGUGCAGGAAGGGAGAGCGGAAUUCUUGGUGUAGCGGUGAAAUGCGUUGAUAUCAAGAAGAACACCGGUGGCGAAGGCGGCUCUCUGGAAUGCUACUGACACUGAGGCACGAAAGCUGGGGGAGCAAAC